GUAAGAUGUUAACUUCUUCUAUGGCCUUGUCUAUAUCAAAGUUGUCAAUGUCAAAAUGGGCCAGACAUGCCUCUAAAGGGUCAUCUGCUAAGAUAUAGGGAAGGGCUUCCUCUACAAGAUCAUCCAUUUCGUCAAUUAGGCAACACCCGUCUUCCCUCACAUGUUGGUCCGCGGCAUGAAACACAUUCAAUUUAAUUUUCAUG
rnacentral:lncRNA from 1 species